UAGGGAAUCUUCGGCAAUGGACGAAAGUCUGACCGAGCAACGCCGCGUGAGUGAAGAAGGUUUUCGGAUCGUAAAACUCUGUUGUUAGAGAAGAACAAGGACGUUAGUAACUGAACGUCCCCUGACGGUAUCUAACCAGAAAGCCACGGCUAACUACGUGCCAGCAGCCGCGGUAAUACGUAGGUGGCAAGCGUUGUCCGGAUUUAUUGGGCGUAAAGCGAGCGCAGGCGGUUUCUUAAGUCUGAUGUGAAAGCCCCCGGCUCAACCGGGGAGGGUCAUUGGAAACGGGGAGACUUGAGUGCAGAAGAGGAGAGUGGAAUUCCAUGUGUAGCGGUGAAAUGCGUAGAUAUAUGGAGGAACACCAGUGGCGAAGGCGGCUCUCUGGUCUGUAACAGACGCUGAGGCUCGAAAGCGUGGGGAGCAAACAGG
rnacentral:rRNA from 1 species